rnacentral:rRNA from 1 species
GUGGGUUAUACCAGAAGCCGGUGCGCUAACCGCAAGGAAGCAGCCGUUCAAGGUAUGACUCAUGAUUGGGGUGAAGUCGUAACAAGGUAGCCGUAGGUGAACCUGCAGAAGGAUCA